GUAUAUUUAAAAAAAAAAAAAAAAAUUGGAAAUUAAAGCGUAUUUAGCAAGUUGCUCUGCGCUCUACUAACACCCACACACUCCAUUGUGGUAUUCGGUAGCAAGGAGCAGAAGAAAAAAAGAUGUUGUUGAUGUUUGCUGCAUGCCACGAGCUUUGCGAGCGCGUUGCAUAUUUGCCUUAAACUUUUGCGGCAGCAACGGCAUACACGCUGACGCAGACACGGACCGGAAGACGGACGGAUGGGGAGGCAGAGUAAAAGAACGACAGACGCGCAGUUAGAUACUCGGAGAGACAGUGACUCGCAGUCAGACAAACAGACAAGCAAAAGUUGUGACAUACCCCACAAACAAGAGCGUAUAAAGAUACUAAGGGAGACGGGUAUAUGCGGACGAGCUGAACAGGUUCAAUAUGAAACUUUUCGGUCGGGCUACACCCAAUCCAUCAGUUAAUAAAUGUGACAAAAUUGUGCUGCCAGCCAAAGUGGGGCAAAAGAAAGAAAUGAAAGGCUUAAGCCCAGCCACAAAGCACAUUGAAAAAUAAUAAAUCAUACAAAAAUUUGUUGUUGUUGUCA